UUAAGUUCAGCGGGUAGUCCUACCUGAUUUGAGGUCAAAGUCAAAAUUGACCGACGGGCGAUUGUAAGCAGUCAUCACAACCUUCACCGACGAAACUUAUUACGCCGACUACGGUGCUAUCCCGCUAAGUCUUUUAAGGUGAGCCGGCAGAAGCGGCAACACCCAAGUCCAAUCUCCUCGGAAACCCGAGGGAUUGAGUC
rnacentral:misc_RNA from 1 species